rnacentral:lncRNA from 1 species
GUUAUUUUUACUUACUUUCAAGCUUCAUUCAUUCAUUCAUUCGAAAUGCCAGGAAUCAAGCCUAGGGCUUUGUCUCUACCAAAGACCAUGUCCUCAGCCUUACCAUGUGACUUUGAGGAAAUUGUUUCACCUUCUCUGGCUCUCACAAUCUCACAGCUGUUUCCAUUGUUUCUAUAUCUGUCGAUGUGAGUCACUCUAUGAGUGAUUAUAAAGGUGUUGUGAACAGAACCACUAUUUUGAGAACCUUCAAAGUGCCAAUACCUGGAGCUGUGAUGAAUCUGAGAAUUUUGGCACCAAGAAAAGCUACCAGAGUUGUGGAGCCAGGCAAGACUGGGCCCAGGUCACGUGACUAGAAGCCAGCCAGAGCAGCAGGGUGGACUGCUAAGACCAAGUAAAUUCUAGAAGCUGGAGUUCAAGUUAAAGGAAACAUUUACUAAAAACCUGUUAAGAGCAAAUAUCAACAAGGGAGGCAGUUCUAAAUGGGCCGUGAGGGUCAGCCACCAAGAGCCAGAAUGAUGCACAAUGCUGCUAGUGCUGCCGGGUCCACAAGGACUUUCUGCUCCCUCUCCUUCUCAGGGUUUAAGACUUCUGCUAUGUCAUGGGGCCAGUCAUUACAGGGCGGGCAUGAGUUGGAAUUUCACCGUGAAACUCUACGCAUCUUCAAAAAGUCAUUAGGCUGUGAAUUCUGUAAUUAUGGAAAUCGUCAGGCCAGUUCUCUGAGAAUGUUUGCUCCCAUCCAUAAGGUAGUGGAAUGUUCAAUCAGUCUCUCUCGUGGGAAAGUUAGGUCAUAACU